AUUGAACGCUGGCGGCAGGCCUAACAUAUGCAAGUCGAGCGGAAACGAAGGGAGCUUGCUCCCAGGCGUUGAGCGGCGGACGGGUGAGUAACAUGUGAGAAUCUGCCCAUUAGUGGGGGACAACUCGGGGAAACUCGAGCUAAUACCACAUAAUCCCUACGGGGGAAAGCAGGGGCCUUUUUGGCCUUGCGCUGAUGGAUGAGCUCACGUCUGAUUAGCGUGUUGGUGAGGUAAAGGCUCACCAAGGCGACGAUCCGUAGCGGGUCUGAGAGGAUGAUCAGCCACACUGGGACUGAGACACGGCCCAGACUCCUACGGGAGGCAGCAGUGGGGAAUUUUGGACAAUGGGCGCAAGCCUGAUCCAGCCAUGCCGCGUGCAGGAUGAAGGCCUUCGGGUUGUAAACUGCUUUUGUACGGAACGAAAAGGUUUGGCCUAAUACGCUGAACUCAUGACGGUACCGUAAGAAUAAGCACCGGCUAACUACGUGCCAGCAGCCGCCGUAA
rnacentral:rRNA from 1 species